UAAUAUAAUAUAAAUAUAGAAAAGGUGAGUAAAGAGCAAGGCGAGCGUGUCUAACGGCAUACCGCCAUCAAAGCGACCGCCGAUGUUUGAGGAUCGUGCCGAUGUUUACACAACUUAUUCCUUGUCAGUAUUGUUAACAGACUCUCUCUUCGUCUCUCUCUCUCUCUCUCUUUCUUUUACUCUCACUUUUUCUCCUUCAUUUCUCCUCUACCUCUCAGUCGUCCCUCGUCAUCCACACGAGUAAGAUCUCAUUGUUCAGAGUUUCAAGUGCGUACACGUAAGAUUUUCGAUAAUAUAAAUUUUUUAAAUUGUUCGUCCGAUUUUAUAUAUAUAUAUAUAUAUAUGUAUAUAAACAGGACCACAAUGAUCUCGGUUAGAGUUGAUUUAGGAAGGAAGGUCCACUCGACGACGCAGGUGGAUAGAAACUUAUUUUUCUGUACCUGUUGUACAAACGCACUUUUAUCUGCCAUAACAUGUUUCCAUUAUAAUGUUAACAAAGAAAGAAAAAGAAAAAAAAAGAAAAGAAAAAGAAAAGAAAAGAAAAAGAAAAGAAAGGAGGAAAAGUGUAGAUACGAAACGUGACAAAGGAAAUACGUUAUAAUGUCAUUAACGACGUUUGGAAAGAAGAAGAAGGAAAAAAAAAAGAAAAUAAAAGAACUUUUAACUCGUCCUGAAGGACCGACGAAAAUUCACGUUACUACGAAGGAUAGAAGACAGACAGAGACAGACGAAAUAGACAAACAUGGAUAAACAAAGAGAGAGAGAGAGAGAGAGAGAGAGAGAGAGAGAGAGAGAGAGAGAAAGGGAGGGAGAAAGAGAGAGAGAGAGAAAGAGACAGAUAGACAGAGAGGCAGACAGACAAAGUUCAAGCUUGAAAUGGCAAUCGUUGGUUCACGGAGGUCAGACCAUGGAAGUGAUCUGCUGGCCCGAGGGUACGAACUCCGGGGCAUGUAGACCGGAAGUAACGUCACACCCGCGUGGCUCUGAAUGCGCAUACCGGAUGUGUGGCAUCGGCUCCCCAUCAGAGAACCAUCAACAUCACAUUCACAAUUCCUGCACAUCGUCGGCUCGUCGCACAUCACAUUACAUCGUGCCUAAGUGCGGGCGUCGCACGCGAUCUCUCCACCAGUAUAUAACGUAUCUACAUAUAUAUAUAUAUAUAUAUAUAUAUAUAUAUAUAUAUAUAUAUAUUAUAUAUACACCACACGUAGAGACGUGUGUAUUUAUUUCUAUACAAUAAUACAAGUAAUGUGAAUGUAGUAAUAUUAUAGUAGUAGUAGUAGUAGUAAUAGUAGUAGUAGUAGUAGUAGUAGUAGUAGUAGUAGUAAUAGUAGUAGUAGUAAUAGUAGUAGUAGUAGUAGUGGAGUUCUUUCGCGCGUAUCCAUCACUUUCAUGAUUUUCGUUCUCUUCGUUCUUUUCUUUUUUAUUUCAUUUUAUUUUUUUCCCCUUUUUUCUUUUUCUUUUUUCUUUUUCUUUCUCUUUUUUUUUUUUACGUAUUGUUCGACGAAUGUCGAAUAUCAAGGCGAACGAUCGAGGUGAAAACAACAAAACCAAAGAGUACUGUUAUUCGAUCAAAUUCAUUAGUUACGCUCUUGUUCAUAUUUUAUUAUUAUAAAAAUAACAAAAAGAAAAGAAUAGUAAUAAUAACAGUAAUAAUAAUAAUAAUAAUACUAAUAAUUGGAUAAAUGUGUGUGCGGUUUAUAUAUAUAUGUUUGUGUAUGUGUUUGUAUACUAUUUUACUAAGGUAUUCAUUUGCAUUUAAGAAAGAAGAAGAUAUACGAGACUAACCUUUCGUUAUAUUUAGACGUACUCGUUCCUUCUCCCAAGAAGCGAAAGAGGCCUCUAGGGCCUCUGUCAUUUUUUUGUUGGUACCAGGCGUUAAUGGCGGCACUUGUGCCGGUAUAUCUGUAACACAGUAUGUAGAAACAAAAGUAAUAUAUAUAUAUAUAUAUAUAUACAUAUAUAUAUAUACGUUUUAAUAAUAAUUCCUCGUAAUUAUAAACGCUUACGUAUUUAUUUACGCACUCGUGCCGAUAUAUUAUUAAAGUGAUCUGAUUUGUUUUAUAAUAUUAAAUGAACAUAAUCCGUCGUACGUUACUACUCUUAAAAGCAACAAUACAAAAAAUUAAUAACACAAACAUCUUUCCACGUCUCCUCCCCCCGCUCCCUUUAACCGAACGUCCAAAUAUCUGAAAACGAAAAACAUUACAACUUCGAUCACUUUUAUAAUCACCGCGACUCAAAUAUAAUAGAGAUGUUUAACAUACUUUUCCUUUUUUUUUUUUUUUGUUUCUCUUCUCUCCUUAUAUAUAUACAUAUAUAUAUCGCAAGUAAUAUAUCUUACGUAAGAAUCUCGUAUGUCAUUACUCAAGGACGUAUUGUUAAGAAAUAUAUUUUUACAAAUCGUACCCUAUGGAAAGUAAGAAUCAUGGUGAAUGCGUCAUGGUAAGAGAAAAGAGACUCUCUUUCGUGCGCGAGAGGGCAAGUUAAUGGUAUUUCUCGCGAAUGCAUUCACGAAAGGAGAGAGAGGAGGGCAAGCUAACGUGUAUAUGUAUAUCCAUAUAUAUAUACAUGUAUGUAUGUAUGUAUGUGUACGUGUGUAUCCGUGUGCAUGUGUAUGUAUAUGUGUGUGUGUGUCUGUGUGUGUGUGAGAGAGCAUGCGUCAGGUGUCGUAGCGGUGGCGUCAGCGCCAGCGGCCAGGGGCACCAUCCUAGAUAGCAUCGUCGUAAAAGAGGGAUACAACUGGUAAAGGCAGGUGCAGGUGCAUAUUCUCGUUUCUGUCUUUUCUUCUUCUUCUUCUUCUUCUUCUUCUUCUUCUUCUUCUUCUUCUACUACUACUCCUCUUUGCCCGUAUAUAUAUAUAUGUGUGUGUAUGUAUGUGUAUGUGUGUAUACUUUGAAGCACUCUAUGCGCCAUACGCACCAUGGCAAAUGGCGUGGCACCUUAUGGCGUAUUCCUGUCAAUUUCAUAUAGUUCGACUUAGAACGAUCGUUGAUCCUGACUUUCUUAUAAAAUGCAUAUUUACAUGGAAAAUUUUCAAUUAAUGACAAUUAAUUUCUUAAUCAAUGUAACACAAGUAAAGAUUUUAUUUUAUCUUCUAUUUUCUUCUCUUUACUUAUUUAACUGUUUGAAGUCAAAUAGACAAGGCAUUUUUAUUCGUGAUAUUAAUCGACGAUAAAAAUUAUGUAUAAAUCUCCGCCAUAUACACGUAUUUAUUUGUCUUCUUCUGUUUGUUUUAUCUUUCUCUCUCUCUCUUUUUUAAUUUAACGAAAUGAAUUUAAUGAAAAUUUCUUCUUACGCCGUGUAUCUAAGCUAUCAUAGAGUUCGUCAUAAUUCAUAGAAAUGAAACGAAACGAAACUAAAAAGAAAAAAAAAAACAAAAACAAAAA